CUGAAAUGGCCCAACGGCGCGCAGAGCCCAGUGGCACAGAAAGUGUGCUGUUCUUGCUGUUUCGGGCUGUACUCUGUGGCUCUGCGCCUCCAAGGCUUUGCUGCCUGGCGAGCGUCCUCCCGGUACCACAAACCCGAGGCUUCUAUGGGAUAUUCUGGAUUCUCCAUAGGAGUUUCUCCCGGCGCGGAUUGUGUUUGAGCUGACGAUGCUCGUAGAAGAAAAGGCGCAGAGCUGUGCCAGGAGGCAGCAUGCACCGGUCAGAGCCCUCGGUGGCCUCCUCCGGCUGCUCUUGGCGCUGGUCCGCUCCUGGAGACCGCUCCGCAGCCGCCUGGGAGGCGAGGCGCGCAAUCUCCGCGCUACCCACGCGGGCCCGGGGUGCGUUGGCCGCACUUUGGCUUUGGGCGCUGGAUGGACAGUGGGGUAAAGGGUGAGGGCUCCGGGUCCCCUAACGUGGAUUACUUGGUGCUUAUCAACUGGAUUUAGAAGACUCACGACCUGGUCUCCAUCAUCCGUGGAUUGUCUUUCCAUCUCCCAGCGGCUCUUCCACCUGGAGGUGAAACCAGAGCUUCUGCCUGCAUGGAACAGGGGCAAGAGAAAGGCCUAGAGGGAGACUGAUCAAGGGCUGAUCCUGCUCGUCCAUGCUACUUACCAGGCACUGUGGAACCAUGGGAAAUAUGACCCUGGCCCUCUCUUCAGGAUCUGGCUGAGAACUGGCUGCCUCUUGAGAGGCUAGAGCCCUGGAUUCAAUUGAGGAACAUUAUGUUGGAGAAUAUAGAAACUUCUAAACUGUCUAGAAUGUGCAGACAUUUGGGAAGGAAUAAUCUGUUUUGACUUGAAUGAACAAAGAUGUACAUCUCUGGACAUGGAGAAGGCUCACCAGCUCAGCUCAUGUACUGUCUGGUGGCAAACAAGUCCCCUGCUGCCACUACCCAGGACACUCUUCUCUACUCUGUCCCUGUCCAGAUACUGCACCCUUCCCUGCCUGACCCCACCUCCUCUGCCCACCUCCCGUCUGAACCCAGAGAUUCUUUUUGUUUGCUCUAUUAUCCUUGAGCCGGAUACAGGGUGAAUAGUUAACUACACUUGGGUUGGAUGGGAUCUUGAUUUUUACUUCUGUUCCGUGGAAAGAGGUCAGUCUCUGUGCAUGGCACCUGGUCUGGAAGCCAGCACAAGACUCCAGAGUGAUACAAGAUCUGCCUGGAUGGUCCCAUGGGCUCUUUGGAGGUCAGAGCGAGAGGAGCAGCCUGAGCAGGGGCUGAGGAGGGCCGGCACUGGAUCACACACAGUACAUCUGGAAAGGCAGAGAUGAGCUCACUGUUCAUUCCAUCUUCUGCGACACAAAUGCAAGGAGGUGUGAAGACUCUCUUCAGAGGCUGUAAUGAGAGAUCAACUUACCCUGGGGCUUCUUGCCUGAGCAGCCAGCUCUGUGGGUAGUGCCUCCUGAGGACCUCUUUCCUCUACUGUAUGCUGAUGACACUCACAGUGGAGCUAGAGCCUUCUCUGUUCCUUUUGUCUAUGGUCUCCACUUGUGCAGUGGAGGAAUCCUUCCUAAUCAUGCCUUGAUUUCCCCCUUCUUGACUACACUCAAAGAUGUUUGAGUUGUUUUGCUUGCAAAAUGGAUGGACAGUUUGUUUAUAUAAAACAAUCCAAGCUUCCUUGUGCUGCA